CUAGGCGGGAAGCUAGCGAUGUCUGAGGAGUGGGAGCUCCAUCUCCACUAAGUGUUUCGGCCUUCAGCCUGGCUGAUAAUCUGUAGUCUUGGGUAAGCUGUUGGACCUCGACUUCCUCAUUUGCAAAGCCAAUAGAUCCUGUCUCUGGACUGAGCUUGCCAUUCACAGGGAAUAGGAGUUGAGGAUGGGAGUGAAAAUAGAGUCUCCAGCAAAAGGAAGAAAAUCCUUAUGGUGACAGAGACUUAGCUCUCUGCUAUGGUCUGGGAAAGCAGUAGAAGAUGGCCCAAGUCUUGGGCCCCUCUGCAGCCAUAUGGGAUACCUGGAAGAAGCUCCUGGUCCUGGCUUCCGAUCUACUCAGCUCUGGCUGUUGUGGCCAUUUGGGGAGUGAACCAGUGGAUGGAAGACCUUUCUUUGUGACUCCCCCUCUCUCUUAACUCUACCUCUCAAAUAAAUAAGAUAAACAUUUUUUAAAAAUUACCUUUCAUGAGUCAUUGAUCUAUUGAUUCAACAAUACUUAUUGGGGCUUUCUUAAUGCAGAUAUGGUAUUAGAUGCUAGGAAUAAAUCAGAAGUCUGCCUUUCAACUUUGUGGGACUUACAGAUGAUGAUAGGCCAAAAAUAACAAAAUAGAAAUGUAAAAUAUUUGGGAGUUAAUGAUAAUAUUAUAGAGGAAAGAGAGGGGGGUUAACAUGGAAACAUGUCAGAGGAGAAUCUGGUUUAUGUAGGAUAGUCAUGGGAGGCACCUGGGGGAAUAUAUGCUUAGAGUGAAACCUUAGUGGUGAAAACAUGGAGAAGGCACUUCUGUGGGAAGAGGACACUUGCACACUGUUAGCAAAGCAGGGAAAAUCUUCCUAUGUUUGAAAAUAUAAAGAAAGAACAGUCUGUGAGGAUGGAGUAUAUGUAGCAAAUGAAGCAGAAGAUAUGUUACAUUAGUAGAUAAGAACUUGAGGUUUGGAAGCUUUAUGAGACAGACUACCCAGUGUCACCUAAUCAUAUAGGUAGGAUUCAACCCAAGGUCUUCUGACCUUGAGUGCUGAAAAUUGCUGCAUUAGUCUUUUCUUGAAAA